GCCCCCCUACGGGGCGCAGCAGUAGGGGGUCUUCCACAAUGGACGAAAGUCUGAUGGAGCAACGCCGCGUGAGUGAAGAAGGGUUUCGGCUCGUAAAGCUCUGUUGGUAGUGAAGAAAGAUAGAGGUAGUAACUGGCCUUUAUUUGACGGUAAUUACUUAGAAAGUCACGGCUAACUACGUGCCAGCAGCCGCGGUAAUACGUAGGUGGCAAGCGUUGUCCGGAUUUAUUGGG
rnacentral:rRNA from 1 species